CAGUCGCCGCGGUAAUACGGAGGGUGCAAGCGUUAUCCGGAUUUAUUGGGUUUAAAGGGUCCGUAGGCGGAUCUGUAAGUCAGUGGUGAAAUCUCACAGCUUAACUGUGAAACUGCCAUUGAUACUGCAGGUCUUGAGUAAAUUUGAAGUGGCUGGAAUAAGUAGUGUAGCGGUGAAAUGCAUAGAUAUUACUUAGAACACCAAUUGCGAAGGCAGGUCACUAAGAUUUAACUGACGCUGAUGGACGAAAGCGUGGGGAGCGAACAGGAUUAGAUACCCCAGUAGUCCCUGUCUCUUAUAU
rnacentral:rRNA from 1 species